rnacentral:rRNA from 1 species
CGGAUCGCAGGCUGCAACCCGCCUGCGUGAAGUUGGAAUUGCUAGUAAUCGCGGAUCAGCAUGCCGCGGUGAAUACGUUCCCGGGCCUUGUACACACCGCCCGUCACACCAUGGGAGCCGGUAAUACCCGAAGUCAGUAGCCUAACCGCAAGGGGGGCGCUGCCGAAGGUAGGAUUGGCGACUGGGGUGAAGUCGUAACAAGGUACC